UCAUUAACAUCAGAAUCCUUCCUGGUCUCCGGCCGACUGCCCAUCGCGGGGGUCAAAGGCAGCGAGCACGACGCUUUGAAUCCAAGCAGCCAACCGAUUUUUUCGUCGCUGUUUUUCCCUUCAAAAGCUCACCUUUCCGUUUUGUUUUGUUUUGUUUAUCGCUCUCCGGGCGCCCUCGCUGCUUUAGGUCCCGGCUGCGCUCUCCAUCCUCCCUCCCAACCCCGAGGUGUUCCCCGAGGAGCCGGGGGCGAGCAGCGAGACCACGGCGGGGCCGUGCCCGGAGCUCGGACCCAAACCCAAACCCAGACCCGGACCCAAACCCAGACCCGGACCCGGACCCCGCGGCCAUCCCGCGGCGCCCCGCGCCCGGUGCCGCUCCGCACCCGCGCAGGGAGGCGGCGGGGCAGCCGGGCAUCCCCUCCGGUCCCCCACCUGGCCGCCGCGCCUCCCCACCCGCGGAGACCCCCCGCGCGAUUCCGGGGGAUCCCCGGUCCCUCGGGUCCCGUCCCCGGAGGAGGGGGUCCGAGGGGGGCGCGGGGGCAGCCCCCUCGUACUCACCGCGGCGGCCACGGCGCCGAGCUCGGCGCUGAGCAGCAGCCCGAAGCCCAGCCAGAGCCGCAUGCUGCCGCGCACCGUGCCGGCGGCUCGGCGUGGGGGCUCCGCGGGGCCGGCCCCAAAGCCGUGCCUCUCCCCUCCGUGGCGGCCGCGGCGCCUGCAAUGCGAGGGACUCGCCUCGCCGUAACCGAUGGGCGGCGGCAGCCCCCUCUCCUCCCCCCGGGCGGAGACCCUGGGAGCGCGCAACCUCGCCCGCUCCCCGCGGUUCCUCCUCCUCCUCCUCCUCCUCCUCCUCCUCCGCCCGCCACGGGUGGGUGCGGGCGGGCGGCGGGGGGAGAGGCGCCGCUUCCUCGCCCCACACCGCCCGGGAGGGCGCGGAGAGGAGCGGAGCGGGCGCGGAGCGGGGCAGGGGCCGGGGGCGUCCCGGGCAGGGCGGCUGCGAGCCACCCCCCCCGGCAGCGCCUCGCCGAGCUCCGGAGGGUGCCCGGCGUCGGGAGCGGGCUCGGCUCGGCUCGCAGGGGACGGCCCGGCGGCGGGAGGAAGCCGUGA
rnacentral:lncRNA from 1 species